GACGAACGCUGGCGGCGUGCCUAAUACAUGCAAGUAGAACGCACAGGAUGCACCGUAGUUUACUACACCGUAUUCUGUGAGUUGCGAACGGGUGAGUAACGCGUAGGUAACCUGCCUGGUAGCGGGGGAUAACUAUUGGAAACGAUAGCUAAUACCGCAUAAAAGUCGACAUCGCAUGAUGUUGACUUGAAAGGUGCAAUUGCAUCACUAAGAGAUGGACCUGCGUUGUAUUAGCUAGUUGGUGAGGUAACGGCUCACCAAGGCAACGAUACAUAGCCGACCUGAGAGGGUGAUCGGCCACACUGGGACUGAGACACGGCCCAGACUCCUACGGGAGGCAGCAGUAGGGAAUCUUCGGCAAUGGGGGCAACCCUGACCGAGCAACGCCGCGUGAGUGAAGAAGGUUUUCGGAUCGUAAAGCUCUGUUGUAAGAGAAGAACGAGUGUGAGAGUGGAAAGUUCACACUGUGACGGUAACUUACCAGAAAGGGACGGCUAACUACGUGCCAGCAGCCGCGGUAAUACGUAGGUCCCGAGCGUUAUCCGGAUUUAUUGGGCGUAAAGCGAGCGCAGGCGGUUAGAUAAGUCUGAAGUUAAAGGCUGUGGCUUAACCAUAGUACGCUUUGGAAACUGUUUAACUUGAGUGCAGAAGGGGAGCGUGGAAUUCCAUGUGUAGCGGUGAAAUGCGUAGAUAUAUGGAGGAACACCGGUGGCGAAAGCGGUUCUCUGGUCUGUAACUGACGCUGAGGCUCGAAAGCGUGGGGAGCAAACAGG
rnacentral:rRNA from 1 species